AGUCUGGUGCCAGCAGCCGCGGUAAUUCCAGCUCCAAUAGCGUAUAUUAAAGUUGUUGCGGUUAAAAAGCUCGUAGUUGGAUCUCGGUUUCACUCAGGCGGUACACCUUGCGGUGUUCACUGUCUGGGCGGACGUUUCUGUUGGUUCGCUGUUGGUUCUCUUAAUCGAGUGCCAAUUGGUGGCCAGCACGUUUACUUUGAAAAAAUUGGAGUGCUCAAAGCAGGCGUUACAGCCUGAACAUUAGUGCAUGGAAUAAUGGAAUAGGAUCUCGAUUCUAUCUCGUUGGCUUUCGGAGUCGAGGUAAUGAUUAAUAGACAGACGGGGGCAUUCGUACUGCGACGUUAGAGGUGAAAUUCUUGGAUCGUCGCAAGACGAACUACUGCGAAAGCAUUUGCCAAGAAUGUUUUCAUUAAUCAAGAACGAAAGUUAGAGGUUCGAAGGCGAUCAGAUACCGCCCUAGUUCUAACCAUAAACGAUGCCAACCGGCGAUCCGUCGUCGUUAAUUGAAUGACUCGACGGGCAGCCUCCGGGAAACCAGAGUGUUUGGGUUCCGGGGGAAGUAUGGUUGCAAAGCUGAAACUUAAAGGAAUUGACGGAAGGGCACCACCAGGAGUGGAGCCUGCGGCUUAAUUUGACCCAACACGGGAAAUCUCACCAGGCCCGGACACCGGAAGGAUUGACAGAUUGAGAGCUCUUUCUUGAUUCGGUGGGUGGUGGUGCAUGGCCGUUCUUAGUUGGUGGAGCGAUUUGUCUGGUUAAUUCCGAUAACGAACGAGACUCUGGCCUACUAACUAGAAGGGUCGUUCUUUACGAGCGGCCCUCUGCUUCUUAGAGGGACGGGCGGCGUUUAGCCGCACGAGAAUGAGCAAUAACAGGUCUGUGAUGCCCUUAGAUGUUCUGGGCUGCACGCGCGCUACACUGAAGGAAUCAGCAUGUUCUCCCCUCCCUGAAAAGGGCGGGUAACCCGUUGAAACUCCUUCGUGAUGGGGAUUGGAGAUUGUAAUUAUUCUCCAUGAACGAGGAAUUCCCAGUAGGCGCGAGUCAUCAGCUUGCGUCGAUUACGUCCCUGCCCUUUGUACACACCGCCCGUCGCUACUACCGAUCGAGUGAUUUAGUGAGGACUUCGGACUGGUCUCCAAGUUGGCUUCGGUCAGCUCGGAGUCCCGGAAAGAUGCCCAAACUUGAUCACUUAGAGGAAGUAAAAGUCGUAACAAGGUUUCCGUAGGUGAACCUGCGGAAG
rnacentral:rRNA from 1 species